ensembl:lncRNA
AUGUCUGUGUGCGUGUGUAUGGAGCCAUUGGGUGCAGUCACUAUAGCAACCAGGCUCACACCUGCCUGCCUAACGAGCUCUGUCUCUCACUGUGCCAAGAUUAAUCUUAAACACUUCUCUUUCAACUGCUGCUGUGUCCACAGUGUUUGCUCUACAGCCAUCAUUUUACCCUCAAAACGUCGCCAUCGUUCUUCUCUUUCCAACACAUGUCUUUCAAAGCUCAGAGAUGUAAACUUUUUAAACUGUGUGGAUCCAAGUGGAGGGAUCACAUUUCAGUCAUUCAGUGAUUCAAAGAAUAUGAACUUUUAAUAUUCAUUCAGAUGUUUUCUGACUCUAAAUAGUCUUUUCUCAUUUUUUAGGUUUUUCUAAUUUACAUUUAAAACAUUUUCAGCUGUUUUCUAACUUCUUCUCUGUGGAUGUCAGCUUUUAGCAGUUCAGCUUUUUUGUUUUCAGGUGCAAAUUUCUGUAUUUUUCAUCUCAUUCAACAUUUUUAACUUAAAAUUCAGCAAUUAAUUCAUUUCAGCGCAUAUAUUCAGAUUCAAGCAUUCACACUGCAGUUUCUUCAGAAAAUGCACUUUCUAGUUAUUAUUAUUAUUAUCUAUUCCGUACGUUUUUUGUAGUCCUACUACUUCAAAACCGUUCAACUUAGAAAAACCAUUCAAACACCGUUAGAUUCCUCUUCUUUUGGACAUGACUGCUUCUAUUUUUCUCAUUUUUAACAUUUAUAUUUUUAAUUUUAUUCAACUUUUUUCAACAAAAAUUUCCCAUGUAUUUCAAUGGGGAGACCCUUCAAAUCCUCAUUCAACUUACUCAUUUUUAAACUCCUACUACUUCCACAUACGUUGACAUAGAUCCACCAUUCAAACUUUAAAACGAAGACAAGACAUUCAACUAUUCAACUUGUAUUUAUCUUUUCAAUAUCUGUUAUACUUUUUCUUCAGUUCCAGUUUAAGUUUCAUGAUGUUUUUUCAGCCAUUUCAGAGUUUAUAAUGGGUGUAUAUGGGACGGAAUGUUGGAGGUUAGAGUGAGAGCUUCAACUGCUAGAGUGAGAGGAGCGAAAAAAUUAAUCUUAAAAUAUUUUUUAAAACUGCUGCUGUGUCCGCAGCGUUUGCUCUACCGGUCUGAUUUUACCCUCAAAACGUAGCCAUCGCUGUCCUCUUUCAUCCAAUGUGUUUACUAUUGUCCUAGGUGUUAUGGUUCUUUCAUAAAUGUCACCAAAGCACAGCCUCCUCCCUCCAACUCCUCCAUAGACUCUAAUGUUAAAAUGGCUCAGAAGGUUCGUUUGAAAAUCAGAAGAGCAUGGUGUUUUUAUACUGUCACCACGUCCAUAUAAUAAACUCCACAGGCAUGAAAACUGAGAAUUAGGUAGACUAGACAUUGCUGCCGCUCACGGUGAAAGAAUUUCGUCAAUAGGACCUGUACUUUUCAUUUGGGAAGGAUUUGUUUGGGGCUGACGUUUCUGUUCAUUUUAAGCAGCAAAAGUGAGGUGCAUGUCUCUGUGCGUGUGUAUGGAGCCCCUGGCUCAGUCACUAUAGCAACCAGGCUCACACCUGCCUGCCUAACGAGCUCUGUCUCUCACUGUGCCAAGAUUCAUCUUAAACACUUCUCUUUCAACAGCUGCUGUGUCCACAGUGUUUGCUCUACAGCCAUCAUUUUACCCUCAAAACGAAGCCAUCGUUGUUCUCUUUCCAACAGCGUGUCUUUCAAAGCUCAGAGAUGUAAACCUUUAAAACUGUGUGGAUCCAAAUGGAGGGAUCAUAUUUUAGUCAUUCAGUGAUUCAAAGAAUAUGAACUUUUAAUAUUCAUUCAGAUGUUUUCUGACUCUAAAUAGUCUUUUCUCAUUACUCAGGUUUUUCUAAUUUACAUUUAAAACAUUUUCAGCUAUUUUCCAACUUCUUCUCUGUGCUUGUCAGCUUUUAGCAGUUCAGCACUUUUGUUUUCAGGUGAAAAUUUCUGUAUUUUUCAUCUCAUUCAACAUUUUUAACUUAAAAUUCAGCAAUUAAUUCUUUUCAGUGCAUAUAUUCAGAUUCAAGCAUUCACACUGCAGUUUCUUCAGAAAAUGCACUUUCUAGUUCUUCUAUUUGUGUGGAUGCCCUCAAGGGCUUCCACACUAUUGAGUUCCUGUUUCUCUUUAUUCUUUAUCUUUUCUUCAUCUUCAAGUUGCUUCCGUACGUUUUUCGGCACUGAACUACUUCAGCAGUUUUUGACCGAUUUUCUCCGUUCAAACUCUACACUGUUCUGCUCUUUCUGCUUAUUGCAGCUAUGACUUUUGGUGUUUAUUACUGUUAUACUUUUUAAAAUAUUACACUUUUUUCCUUUAAUUUGUCCCAUUGAAAUGAAUGGAAAACUUCCACAAUUCUGCUAAAACUUGCCUGUUUUUGAAACUUAACUACUUUCUUAUACUUUCACCUAGGAACUCCAUUCAAACUUUAAAAUGUUCUCAAAUUAUUGGACUAUUCCUGAAUGAUUCAGCUUUUUCAGAUCUUCUACCAUUUUAAUCUUAUCCCUCUUUAAAUUUUGAGUUGCAAAAU